UAAAUAUUAACUGCCGAAAACCGGACUAGUCCUACUUUAUAUCUCCUUUGGGCCCAAAACAAAUUUUCUCCUUGCCAAAAAUAAAAUUCCCCUAAAAUAAAAGUGAAAAUAUAUAUGGAACAAUAUAAUUCAACGAUAUAGCAGAAAAAAAUCAGCUUCGACCACUGCAAUGCUAGUGCAAAGUGUUGUGAAAAUCGUCGUUAAUGGAAGUCUUGAAGAGGAGAGCAUUUUCUCUGUGGCCGCCAUCUCGUCGGAGUGGUGCUGUUUUUUUCACCUACAAUGCUUAUUCAACCGUGUUUUCAACACAAACCCCCUGUUCUAGAACAGAACCGAGAGGCAUUCAGGCAAGCUGUUGUUAACACACUAGAGCGCCGUUUGUUUUAUAUCCCUUCCUACAAAAUCUACGGUGGUGUUGCUGGACUUUACGAUUAUGGCCCACCUGGUUGUGCUGUCAAGGCCAACAUCCUUGCCUUUUGGCGCCAGGUCAGCUCACUUCCCAUUUUUCCAUAUACUUUGGUUUGUGUCAUAGUCGAAGGAUAGGAAGUUUGAUAUGGUUUGAUUUGAUGGUUUAAGAUUGUUUCAGUUUUCCUUCCAUGACCACGUGAUUGUCAUUUUAUGUUGGUUUAGUAUGGACUAUGGAGAUGUUACAACCAAUUCCUUUGCAAUGUUGAUUUGGAUUUCACUUCAGUUGAGAUAAAUAAUUUUCUACAGUAGUUAUUUUAUUGACUAAAAGAUGUUAACAGUGUAUAUGAUGACUGCAAGGACCGGCGGUUAAAAAUCGAGAUAUAAUUAGAUCCUUAAACUUUUUGUAUGUUUGUUAGAUUACUGGUUGCAUUUGUAUAUUAAGAUUUUCUAUUUCCAUGCUUUAUGUCGAAAAGUUCACUGACCUUAAGGUCAAGGAUGAAAAGACAGGAGCCUGUCACCGAGCAGAUCAUUUGCUCUGCAAAGACAAGCUAGAGAAAGACCAUGAACUUAGCGCAGAGAAGGCAGCUGAACUCAGACACAUUCUCGCUGUUUUGGAUGAUUUCUCUGCAGAGGAGCUAUGUCCGAAGAUUAAGGAGUACAGCAUUACUGCUCCAGAUACUAAGAACUCUCUCUCUCAGAUAUAUUUCUUCAAAAAUGAAGCAUAUUAUAAUUCCAAUCAAAGCUUAUGUGAAGUCGAAAA